rnacentral:tRNA from 1 species
UAUACUUUGUUGUAUGAUGCAUAAAAGUUUUUGAUUCUUUUGGUAAUUAGUUUAAUUCUAUUAAGUAUAA